AUGGAUUACCACCACCAUCACCAGCAGCAGCAGCAGUUCCUGAUGCCUCCGCCGGCGUCGCUGCCGGCGCAGCAGCAGCUGUGCGCGCCGAUGAUGGGCAUGGGCAUGGAGAUGGGCAUGGAGAUGGAGAUGGAGAUGGAGAUGGAGAUGGAGGAGCAGCUGUGCUUCGUGGGGAGGGGCGGCGGGGGUCGGGGGGCGGAGAGGAAGCGGCGGUUCACGGAGGAGCAGACACGGUCGCUGGAGUCCAUGUUCCACGCGCACCACGCCAAGCUGGAGCCCCGGGAGAAGGCGGAGCUGGCGCGCGAGCUGGGCCUGCAGCCGCGCCAGGUGGCCAUCUGGUUCCAGAACAAGCGCGCGCGGUGGCGCUCCAAGCAGCUGGAGCACGACUUCGCCGCCCUCCGCGCCGACUACGACGCCCUCCACUCCCGCGUCGAGUCCCUCAAGCACGAGAAGCUCGCCCUCGCCGCACAGUUGCAGGAGCUGAGCGAGAGGCUGAGGGAGAGGGACGGCGGCGGCGGUGGCGCGGCGACCGCCACCGCCAGCAGCAGCAGCUGCAACGGAGGCGGCCGGGAGCUGGACGACGACAAGAGGAACGUCGUCGACGUCGAGCCCCCCGAGAGCUGCGUGCUCGGCGGGACGGCGUGCGGCACGCCGGCGGACGUCUCGGCGUCGGUGGAGUCCGAGUGCGACGACCACCUCCACUACGACGGGGCGGUCUUCCCGGAGUCCUUCUGCGCCACGCCGGAGCUGUGGGAGCCGUGGCCGUGGCCGCCCGUCGAGUGGAACGCGGUGGCUUGA
rnacentral:rRNA from 1 species